UAAGAGGAAUUGAAUUUAUGAGGAGUUGAAUUGAGGAGGAAUCAUAAUCAAAUUCAUAUGGAAGUUAUUUACUAAAUUGUCUAGAAUCAGAGUAAGAAUGAUUAUGAUUCCAUAAAAGUUGUUUACCAAUUACCCUUGAAUUGGAAUCAAAGCCAGUAUAAUUACUAAACUGCCCAUGUUCUUAAUAAAUUUAUAUAUGCGCUAGAUUAUGACUUCAAUUUCGAAAACAACAUAUACUUAUAAAUUUUAGAAACUUUCUACCUCUUUAUAAUAUCAUCCAUAAUUCUUUUUACCAUUUUUCCAGCUCUUUAAAACCUUUUUUUUUUUUGCGUUGCAAUCUUGCUCUUAAUUAAGCAUUUCUCCAAACUACUAUAUAUACACCUUGGGCAAACAUGGCUUUUUAUGAAAUAUGUGGGGUAUAAUGGAUAAAAAUCAUGCAUUCCAGAUUACCCCCAACUCUUGGAAUUCAAUUCUCACCUCCCACCAAGGAAUCCAAUUCCUCCACAAGGAGGAGUUGAGUUCCAUUUUUCUUGUGGGCCCCACACAGUCUUAAUUUCUCCAUAUCUUAGUAUACAUAAGAAUGAAACAUAAUCAAAAUCGGACUCCCUAUUUUCAUUCCAAUUGCGGAUGUGUAAAAAUGGCCUAAGUGACAACAAAAAUGAGUCAUUAGUUUGUGAAAGUUUUCCUUUUCCAUGUGUAAUCAACCAUAUAUACAUCUUCCACAUGCAUUUUCUUCUCUUUGUGGCUUGAUGAGGUUUAGACCUAAAUCAUCCCAAACUCUACCCAACUUAUCAUGUUGUAUACUGGUUUUUCCUCAUUCAGCAAUACAAGAGUCAUUAAUUCAAUGUUGUUUUGGUAGAAAACUGAACUGAUUGUGUGCGAUCUGAUGUUGUGAAUAAUUCAAUAUUGUGAAUCAUCCAUGUAAGUUUAUAGGGCAUUCUUUAUUCGUAUCAGGAGACUGAGACGUCUCAUGCCAAUACUAUCCAUAAAAUUUGCAAUGUGUCUAUAUAUACCAAUAAAAAAAUCCUUUGUAAGAACAGCGUAUCACAAAGAAUUGCGCGUUUUAUCUGAUAUGUGAUCA
rnacentral:lncRNA from 1 species